rnacentral:rRNA from 1 species
CUACGGGUGGCUGCAGUCGAGAAUCUUCGGCAAUGGGGGAAACCCUGACCGAGCGACGCCGCGUGCGAGAUGAAGGCCUUCGGGUUGUAAAUCGCUGUCAGAGGGGAGGAAAUGCCAGGGGGUUCUCCCCUUGGUUUGACCUAUCCUCAGAGGAAGGACGGGCUAAGUUCGUGCCAGCAGCCGCGGUAAGACGAACCGUCCAAACGUUAUUCGGAAUCACUGGGCUUAAAGGGUGCGUAGGCGGCCCGGCAAGUUGGGUGUGAAAGCCCUCGGCUCAACCGAGGAACUGCGCCCAAAACUGUCGGACUCGAGGGAGACAGAGGUGAGCGGAACUUAGGGUGGAGCGGUGGAAUGCGUUGAGAUCCUAAGGAACACCAGUAGCGAAAGCGGCUCACUGGGUCUCUUCUGACGCUGAGGCACGAAAGCUAGGGGAGCGAAGAGGAUUAGAUACCCCCGUAGUC